GAGAAGCUUCGACUAAGGUUCGAUUCGAGCGUCAGCGAGAAAGCGUUGCCGCAGGCAACGACCCGAAGGGCGAAGCGCGCAGCGCUGAGUC
rnacentral:sRNA from 1 species